rnacentral:rRNA from 1 species
GACGAACGCUGGCGGCGUGCCUAAUACAUGCAAGUAGAACGCUGAAGAGAGGAGCUUGCUCUUCUUGGAUGAGUUGCGAACGGGUGAGUGACGCGUAGGUAACCUGCCUUGUAGCGGGGGAUAACUAUUGGAAACGAUAGCUAAUACCGCAUAACAAUGGAUGACACAUGUCAUUUAUUUGAAAGGGGCAAUUGCUCCACUACAAGAUGGACCUGCGUUGUAUUAGCUAGUAGGUGAGGUAACGGCUCACCUAGGCGACGAUACAUAGCCGACCUGAGAGGGUGAUCGGCCACACUGGGACUGAGACACGGCCCAGACUCCUACGGGAGGCAGCAGUAGGGAAUCUUCGGCAAUGGGGGCAACCCUGACCGAGCAACGCCGCGUGAGUGAAGAAGGUUUUCGGAUCGUAAAGCUCUGUUGUAAGUCAAGAACGAGUGUGAGAGUGGAAAGUUCACACUGUGACGGUAGCUUACCAGAAAGGGACGGCUAACUACGUGCCAGCAGCCGCGGUAAUACGUAGGUCCCGAGCGUUGUCCGGAUUUAUUGGGCGUAAAGCGAGCGCAGGCGGUUUGAUAAGUCUGAAGUUAAAGGCUGUGGCUCAACCAUAGUUUGCUUUGGAAACUGUCAAACUUGAGUGCAGAAGGGGAGAGUGGAAUUCCAUGUGUAGCGGUGAAAUGCGUAGAUAUAUGGAGGAACACCGGUGGCGAAAGCGGCUCUCUGGUCUGUAACUGACGCUGAGGCUCGAAAGCGUGGGGAGCGAACAGGAUUAGAUACCCUGGUAGUCCACGCCGUAAACGAUGAGUGCUAGGUGUUGGAUCCUUUCCGGGAUUCAGUGCCGCAGCUAACGCAUUAAGCACUCCGCCUGGGGAGUACGACCGCAAGGUUGAAACUCAAAGGAAUUGACGGGGGCCCGCACAAGCGGUGGAGCAUGUGGUUUAAUUCGAAGCAACGCGAAGAACCUUACCAGGUCUUGACAUCCCGAUGCUAUUUCUAGAGAUAGAAAGUUACUUCGGUACAUCGGUGACAGGUGGUGCAUGGUUGUCGUCAGCUCGUGUCGUGAGAUGUUGGGUUAAGUCCCGCAACGAGCGCAACCCCUAUUGUUAGUUGCCAUCAUUCAGUUGGGCACUCUAGCGAGACUGCCGGUAAUAAACCGGAGGAAGGUGGGGAUGACGUCAAAUCAUCAUGCCCCUUAUGACCUGGGCUACACACGUGCUACAAUGGUUGGUACAACGAGUUGCAAGUCGGUGACGGCAAGCUAAUCUCUUAAAGCCAAUCUCAGUUCGGAUUGUAGGCUGCAACUCGCCUACAUGAAGUCGGAAUCGCUAGUAAUCGCGGAUCAGCACGCCGCGGUGAAUACGUUCCCGGGCCU